CUAGUAAUAUAUUGAAUGCAUGGCUAACCACAUCAUUCAUUCUCUUUUUAACAUCCAUGAUGUCAUAAUCUUUUGCAGCAGGAGGGGUGUAUUCCUGCCUGCAGACUUUGGGAAAUCACCACAGGGAGUCAGACUACUGAAGCACAGUCAAGCAAUAAAUCUACCAGGUGUUCUGCAAUUCAAAGUUGGUUCCGCAGUCUCACAGCAUGGAGUCAUCUUGUAUUUAUCAGGAGUGAACUACUGCCAGCAGCUGAAAGGAGCAAAUUAUGCCCUAUGCCUUCAAGGAUGCCUGUUUUAGUUCUCAGUGCAGAAGAAGGACCACAUCUUCCUUUUGUCCACAUCCUGAUAUGUGUUCCAUUGAAAUUAAAUAAAGAUGUCAUUGGUUUCAGUGAGCUUUGGACGAGUCUUCAAAGGCAUU